GCAGUGGUGUUCAGUGGUAGAAUUCUCGCCUUCUAUGCAGGAGUCCUGGGUUCGAUUCCUGGCCAAUGCA
rfam:Loxodonta africana unplaced genomic scaffold scaffold_8, whole genome shotgun sequence.